rnacentral:tRNA from 1 species
GAGGGUAUAGCUCAAAUGGUAGAGCGUAUGCUUAGCAUGCAUGAGGUCCUAAGUUCAAUCCCCAGUACUUCCU